rnacentral:tRNA from 1 species
AAGAAAGUGGCAGAUCGGUAAUGCGCCUGGCUUGAAAUCAGGUUAGGGGGGUUCAUUCCUUCUUUUCUCG